CCCAGACUCCUACGGGAGGCAGCAGUGGGGAAUAUUGCACAAUGAGGGAAACCCUGAUGCAGCGACGCCGCGUGAGUGAAGAAGUAAUUCGUUAUGUAAAGCUCUAUCAGCAGGGAAGAAAAUGACGGUACCUGACUAAGAAGCCCCGGCUAACUACGUGCCAGCAGCCGCGGUAAUACGUAGGGGGCAAGCGUUAUCCGGAUUUACUGGGUGUAAAGGGAGCGUAGACGGCAUGGCAAGUCAGAUGUGAAAGCCCGGGGCUCAACCCCGGGACUGCAUUUGAAACUGUCAGGCUGGAGUGCAGGAGAGGUAAGUGGAAUUCCUAGGGUAGCGGUGAAAUGCGUAGAUAUUAGGGGGAACACCAGUGGCGAAGGCGGCUUACUGGACUGUAACUGACGUUGAGGCUCGAAAGCGUGGGGAGCAAACAGGAUUAGAUACCCCGGUAC
rnacentral:rRNA from 1 species